UCGAGUGGCAGUGACGGUUGUGGCCGCCUAUGGGCGCAGUCUUUCCCUGUGGAAGGAUCCAGAGCACGAGGGACAGUAAAGCCAAAUUCCCCAUGAGGGGUGAUUACUCGGCCUACAUGAGAAUAACAAUACCAAAAAUUGCCCGGUCUGGGGGGCCGAAGUGGCGAGCUGCAGAAUAAUGUCUUUUCAGAAGAUUCCAAGCUCUGAGGUGUGGCUGUGGGAAGCAGAGCAGCAGCAUUGGUAAUGACCUGGAACCCGGAGAGGUGCUUCAGCCUCCUGAGGGUUUUCUGUCUCACACUGCUUUAGCAGAUAAACGUUUGGUUUGCAUAUUUCUCUGAGAAAAGGUAGAUGCAUUACAAGCAAUGUUCAGUUACAGUCAGAUUGAUCUCGUAGUCCCUCCAUUUGGUUAUAAACUUGGGAACUGAAGCACGAUGCUAUGCAUUUAGUCUAUUAGCGCAUAUGAAUUCAAACAACUCUGGGAGGAAUCCCAAGUGGAAUGCCUCGUAUUCAGGAAGAACUGAUAGUCAUCCUAGAAAUGCUCAUUGCUCUAUAUCACAUGGAGUUGCCAAAGUCCUGUAUAACACAGGAUGAACUUUCUCUGAUGUUUCUGUGAAAAUGAGGUGCUUUUUCAGAUGCUUGUCAGCCCACACUGUUGUGCUUGUAGCAAAAAAUUUGCUGUGUGCAUCCAAAUAAAUUGUGCGUAUGGAAUGGAUUCAACGAUGAUCCUCUGCAAUUAAUUUGUACGUGGACAGGAUGCCUCACUACUGCAAACACGAGGAGUUUGAUGCAUCACAGCUCCUUUCUGUGAACGUGUGUGAUUUAUCUAGAAACGCUCCAGCGUUCAACACUUAAAAGUUGUCAGCUCUAAUGUCAGAACAGAAGAAAAAUGGUAGAAGCUAUGCUGGAAUCAAUUCUCUGCUGGCAUAGCAUAUGUUAGUGACAUUAUAUGAGAAUCUUAUAUAAAAAUUGCCUUUCUGCCACAUGACUUAAGGAAAAUUUAUGUCAAGGAGAGCAGAAUCUGGAAGCUUCAAGCUGUUCCUUACCAUCCUUGUUUAUUGACUGCACGGGUGCCAGCACAGAAAACGUAGGAGUGUCAUCACCCUGUGAUCAGGAGAUGAAGUUGCUCAAUUCAGGUUUCAUCUCCCAUAGUGCAGCAGUGCUUUGCGGGAGAAGUCCACCUCCUUCCAAAAAGAGAAUAUGGCAUAUUACUAGCAGUGCAAGUGAUCAAAAUGGAAUACAGAGCUGGAGGCUUGAUCAGAUCAGAGAAAGUACAACUUUUGUGAGCAAAGAG